rnacentral:lncRNA from 1 species
CUCGAUCUAUGAUGUGAUGAUAUGUUAUGUACGGUACGGAAUGAAAGACCAGUGGGACCCAUUCUACGUUCGCUGGCACCAUGUAAGAGAAAGACCAGGACCCAUUCUACGUUCUGGCACUUUGGAAUGUUAUGUUUAAGUGAAAGACCAGGACCCAUUCUACGUUCUGGCACUAUGGAAUUAUGUAGAGGGCUAUUGGUGACAAUACCAUCCUUGAUGUGAUUUGUUUGUGAUAUG